GCAAAACAGCUAGCCUGAACACACCAACCAAACACCCAACUAUAAAUAACAUAACCGAACAGCACAAAAUUAAACCAUUUUCCCGUCCAAGUAUAGGCGAUAGAAAAGACACCCCCACAGAGCGAUAGAGAAAGUACCGCAAGGGAAAGCUGAAAGAGAAAUGAAAAAACCCAUAAUAAGCGACAAAAAGCAGAGAUUAGCCCUCGUACCUUUUGCAUCAUGGUUUAGCAAGCAAUCCCAAGCAAGGAGCCCCUUAGUUUGAGACCCCGAAACUAGACGAGCUACUCCGAGGCAGUCUAAAAGGACCAACCCUUCUCUGUGGCAAAAGAGUGGGAAGACCUCCGAGUAGAGGUGAUAAGCCUACCGAGCCUAGUUAUAGCUGGUUGCUUAAGAAAUGAAUGUUAGUUCAGCCUUAUAUGACCCUUCGACCAAAACAACAAAUCAAGAGCCAAGAGAUCUAUAAGAGUUAGUCAAAGGGGGUACAGCCCCUUUGAAGCAGAACACAACCUUAUUAAGGAGAACAAGGAUCACAUGAACCAAAGGACCCAACUUCCUCAGUGGGCCCAAAAGCAGCCACCUGAUCAGAAAGCGUUACAGCUCAGGAAGAACAUAACCAACAAUAACGAUAAUUAAAUCCCAACCCCCUUUAAAAUAUUAAGCCAUUCUAUGUCUUCAUAGAAGAGAUAAUGCUAAAAUUAGUAAUAAGAGAGCAGACGGCUCUCUCCCCGCGCAUGUGUAAGUCAGCCCGGACAAACCACUGACAAUUAACGGAUCCACUAUAGAGGAAAAAACAACAAGCAACAGAAAGCCAGAAGACCUUGUCAAACCACAACCGUUAAACCAACACAGGAGCGCCCAUAAAGGAAAGACUAAAAGAAGGGGAAGGAACUCGGCAAACACAAACCCCGCCUGUUUACCAAAAACAUCGCCUCUUGCAAACAAAAGAUGUAUUAGAGGUCCCGCCUGCCCUGUGACCAUAGUGUUUAACGGCCGCGGUAUCCUGACCGUGCGAAGGUAGCGUAAUCACUUGUCUUUUAAAUGAAGACCUGUAUGAAUGGCAUAACGAGGGUUUAACUGUCUCCCCCCUCCAGUCAAUGAAAUUGAUCUGUCCGUGCAGAAGCGGACAUAAAUACAUAAGACGAGAAGACCCUAUGGAGCUUUAGGCUAAAGAACAGGCACGUAUAAAAGCUCGAACCCAAAUCCAAAAGAUAAAAUAAAGAGGCCUAUAAACCAAGUGCAAAAUGAUCGACAAUGCCUUCGGUUGGGGCGACCACGGGGGAAAGAAAAGCCCCCGCACGGAACGGAGAAACCUCCCAAACCAAGAAGUACAUUUCUAAGUAACAGAAAAUCUGACCAAAAAUGACCCAGGACAAAAACCUUAAACCUGAUCAAUGAACCAAGUUACCCUAGGGAUAACAGCGCAAUCCCCUCCCAGAGUCCAUAUCGACGAGGGGGUUUACGACCUCGAUGUUGGAUCAGGACAUCCUAAUGGUGCAGCCGCUAUUAAGGGUUCGUUUGUUCAACGAUUAAUAGUCCUACGUGAUCUGAGUUCAGACCGGAGUAAUCCAGGUCGGUUUCUAUCUAUGAACACUACUUCUUCCCAGUACGAAAGGACCGGAAAAAGAGGGCCUAUACUAAAAGCACGCCCUACCCCAACCUCCUGAAAAAAUAUAAAGAAGAUAAAGGGGGCCGUAACACAGCCAGAAAUAACGGCAC
rnacentral:rRNA from 1 species